rnacentral:rRNA from 1 species
UUUCCUACGGGACGCAGCAGUGGGGGAUAUUGCACAAUGGGGGAAACCCUGAUGCAGCGACGCCGCGUGAGUGAAGAAGUAUUUCGGUAUGUAAAGCUCUAUCGGCAGGGAAGAAAAAAAUGACAGUACCUGACUAAGAAGCCCCGGCUAACUACGUGCCAGCAGCCGCGGUAAUACGUAGGGGGCAAGCGUUAUCCGGAUUUACUGGGUGUAAAGGGAGCGUAGGCGGC